rnacentral:rRNA from 1 species
UGGGGAAUUUUGGACAAUGGGGGAAACCCUGAUCCAGCCAUCCCGCGUGUGCGAUGAAGGCCUUCGGGUUGUAAAGCACUUUUGGCAGGAAAGAAACGUCAUGGGUUAAUACCCCGUGAAACUGACGGUACCUGCAGAAUAAGCACCGGCUAACUACGUGCCAGCAGCCGCGGUAAUACGUAGGGUGCAAGCGUUAAUCGGAAUUACUGGGCGUAAAGCGUGCGCAGGCGGUUCGGAAAGAAAGAUGUGAAAUCCCAGAGCUCAACUUUUGAACUGCAUUUCUAACUACCGGGCUAGAGUGUGUCAGAGAGAGGUGGAAUUCCGCGUGUAGCAGUGAAAUGCGUAGAUAUGCGGAGGAACACCGAUGGCGAAGGCAGCCUCCUGGGAUAACACUGACGCUCAUGCACGAAAGCGUGGGGAGCAAACAGG